CAGUCGCCGCGGGAAUACGAAGGGGGCUAGCGUUGUUCGGAAUUACUGGGCGUAAAGGGCGCGUAGGCGGCCAUUCAAGUUAGAUGUGAAAGCCCUGGGCUCAACCUAGGAAUUGCAUUUGAUACUGUUUGGCUUGAGUUCGGGAGAGGUGAGUGGAAUUCCCAGUGUAGAGGUUAAAUUCGUAGAUAUUGGGAAGAACACCAGUGGCGAAGGCGGCUCACUGGACCGACACUGACGCUGAGGCGCGAAAGCGUGGGGAGCAAACAGGAUUAGAGACCCCUGUAGUCCCUGUCUCUUAUAA
rnacentral:rRNA from 1 species